GGCGGACGGGUGAGUAAUACAUGGGUAAUCUCCCCUCGUGCUCGGGAUAACACCGCGAAAGUGGUGCUAAUACCGGAUAAGACCACGUCACCCAGGUGAUGCGGGAAAAGGUGGCUUUUUCUUCGGAUGAGGCUAUCACAUGAGGAUGAGUCCAUGGCCUAUCAGCUUGUUGGUGAGGUAACGGCUCACCAAGGCGAUGACGGGUAGCUGGUCUGAGAGGACGACCAGCCACACUGGGACUGAGACACGGCCCAGACUCCUACGGGAGGCAGCAGUGGGGAAUAUUGGGCAAUGGGCGAAAGCCUGACCCAGCGACGCCGUGUGGGCGAUGAAGGCCUUCGGGUUGUAAAGCCCUGUUGGGUGGAAAGAAGGGCUCAUGGACGAAUAAUCCGUGAGCUUUGACGGUACCACCAGAGGAAGCACCGGCUAACUCCGUGCCAGCAGCCGCGGUAAUACGGAGGGUGCAAGCGUUGUUCGGAAUUACUGGGCGUAAAGGGCGCGUAGGUGGUUGUGUAAGUCAGAUGUGAAAUCCCGAGGCUCAACCUCGGAACUGCAUCUGAUACUGCAUGACUCGAGUGCA
rnacentral:rRNA from 1 species